rnacentral:rRNA from 1 species
UACAGAGGGUGCAAGCGUUGUUCGGAAUUAUUGGGCGUAAGGGGAGUGUAGGCGGCUUGUUAAGUCUUCUGUGAAAUCUACGGGCUCAGCCUGUAACGUGCAGAGGAAACUGGCGAGCUUGAGUGUCGGAGAGGAUAGGGGAAUACCCGGUGUAGAGGUGAAAUUCGUAGAGAUCGGGUGGAACACCAGUGGCGAAGGCGCCUAUCUGGCUGACAACUGACGCUGAGACUCGAAAGCAUGGGGAGCAAACAGG